GACAUUCACCCAAGUCAGGUGCACAAUUUAACAGUGAAAAUGUGGUGUUUCGUUAUAAAAACGUUUUGCCUGCUGCGUAGCUAAAGUCUAGUGGUUUUUCAGUCAACGAAAGGGCAUCAACCGAAUGUCAUCGUAAUAAUUGAAAGAAGAGAAGGGCAAAGACGAAAAGCGAGUAAAUAGAACGACAGAGCAAGAUGAGAUAGACAGAUCGAGUAGAAUACAUGCAAUUUGAUCCACUUGAUCCCAUUUUCGGGAGCUCCGCCAUUUGCUGCAGCUCUCACGUGGCAACCCGCCUGCUUAUUGCAUCUCUCCGUGUGUAUAGUGAACGCAUCGUGUUGGCGGAAAAUGGUCAACAACUCGGGUCGUUGACUCUUCUCCAUCUUAGUCGACGGAUGGCGAUUUAAAAAAAGAAAGGGUCGUUGUCUCAGAGUACAGUUUUAGUCGCACGAACUGCGAAUGUUUCGCCGAUGCUUGUGAUUUGGAAAAAAAAAAGGUCCAGGGAAAAAUCAAAAAUCCAGGCGAGAACGGGACAGGGUGUUCAGGGUAUUACGCAGGAAGUGAAGCUGAAUGGAAGGAUUUUAUUCGGCAACGUUUGAAAUCAUUGGCGUAUAUUUCGGAUCUUUUUCUUAUUUGUAUUUUGUAAAAAAAAAAAAUUUUGAUCCGUGACUGGACCCGAAAGUGAAAUCUUUUCCCAGCCUGCGGGAAUUGGCCCAAAAUUCUUUUAUUUUGGCAAAAUAAAAUAAAAAAAAUGGCAUUACAAUAAAGCAAGGACAAGAGGAGAACGUUGUUUUGGUACUACUUUCUUUCAUGGCUGUUGAACAUCAUCAUCGUCAGAGACGUCAUUUUCUCUCACUCCAUUCUUGGUUUUUCUUGUCCGCCUCGCUCUCGAUUUUUCAUACAAUCAAACGAGUCAAGGAUAGUUCCGAAGAAAGGCAGUGUAGCUCCUGGCUUUUGCUAGCAACAACUGGAACAGAGGGGAAAGUCGUACAUUUAUUGGGAACCGUUCCAAAACCCAUCUUACGUUGUGCCCAUGCAACCGUAUCGAUUGUAAAAAAAAAAAAGACGGAGGCUGCAAAGUGACUAGUUGAAAAAUAGGAAAAAGGGGGGAAAGAAAACGAGAGAUAAAAUGAAAUGAAUCGAAUGGUUUUUGCCCUCUUGGAAGAUAUCAGAUAGCUUACGUACCAAAUUCUGUCGGCGUAGCCUUUGCGCCCGUGGCGGCUUGUUAAGGGCUGCGUGCGGGAGAUAUUCUGCAGUUUCCUCUUGUCUCGUUAAAAAAAAGGGGGGGAAAGGCCAAGAGCUUCUUUUUUUUUUUUCGAUUUUAGCGAAACCAAGCGUUCCAUCUCGAGUGGUCUGUGAUGUCGUUGCCAUUAUCUAGACUUCCCUUAAGCAAACGACGCACGUUGCUGCUCCAACGAAAACAAUUAGACGGUGCCUCUUACGGGUGAAAUAUAAUAAUGAUGCGGUCAGCAGCGUCUCACAGAGGAAACCUGCUGUUGUGGGCAACUAUUGCACCGUAUCGGUCGUAAACUGCCGGACGUUGGCCUGUGUUUAAGCGAUGACGAAGCCAACACGAUCCCUCGGCGCACACUAAAAGACUCUUCUCAACUAGAAUUGUGUGUACGUGAAAGAAAUGUGGGUCGCCUUGAAUACGCACACGAGAAAAGAUUAUUAACGAAACAAAAGAGAAAGCGGUUGCACUAGCGGGAACAUGUGUAGCCGAAUAAUGUGAAGCAGACUAUACGCGAAGCUCGUACACGUAGCCGCAGACAACAAGAACAGCUUGCAGCUUCCGUGUAGCAGCAGCAAUUCAGUGAGCGUUACCCAAAGGCAAAAGUAUAGCGAAGCUGCGUUAGUGAUGGUCUCCUACAUAUACAAAAGGAGACGAAAUUGAAUCAGUCCCGGAUGCAAUUGCAGACCUCCGGGAGUUGAGAAGAAAGACGAGGUGGCCUCGGAAAAAGAAAAGCAAUGAGACUUACUGCACAGGCAGCUAGAAGAAGACCCAAAGAAUAAGAAAGUUACACGGAAGACAGCGAGCAAUCUGCUGUAUAUAUACAUGGACGACUCUGAUGCCGUACACGGAAGGGAAUUGCAUCGUAUGAAUUUCUUUCCCUAUGGUUAUAGCCGUUGAAAGUCUUUUUCUAUACCGCAGUCACGUCUUCUGAAACCAAUCAAGUUACUGGGAUGCCACGAGAAAAGAAGAGCCGAAACACAAAAAAAGGACUUUGCUGAAAAGAUCGAAGGCCUCAACGAAUAGGCGAACGAUCCAUAACGCUACCCUCUUGCCGAUGGUUCCACUUCGACGAACACUCGGUGUAUAUACAGAAUCCAGAAAAUGUGUAAGCUGACAAUCAGCGUAUGAUGAACGGGAUUCAUUAGUGCAGGAAUCAGCAGUUUGUGUUGCACCACAAAAGCCGACAUCGUAAACGGGAUCAUAACAAGAUAAUGGCAUCCAAUAAUUGCUCGAUGAGGCUUUCCUAUCACAUAUACAAUUACACAUCCAACAAGCUGACACAGAGCUACCAAUUUCCCGAGCUGAAGGAAAAUCAUUCGCAUGCUCACAGAGACUUGACAAUCGUCAGCACUUGAUAGUUGGAUCAUCCGUCAGCGAGUCGUCAAUCGUCUGCAAUUGGUUGGGCCAAAGUUCCCAGCAACGAACCUGAUGAUGCGUGUGUGUGUGUUUUGUUUUCUCCUCCGCUUCAUCCAUUCGGCGCGUCGUUGGCACUCUGACAGGCGACGUUAUUUCAGCGAGGGAUGAUGAUGCUAACCAUUUCGUUGACGGAGAUCCAGCCCUAGGGAUCUAUAAACCAUUUGGUUGGUUCGUGUCGUCUUGACUGGAAUGACUUUAUCCAAACUUUUUACGUGUAAACCUGGCCAAACGUCUUCCCACCAACUAGUAAGGUUCCUUUUCUUUUUAUUAGUUCCUUUUUUUUAUUUUCAAAUCCAAGUCAUCCAUCUAUCAUGGGAUUCUUGACUGGCUGGAAUACUUUCUUUUUUAUAUAAUCAUGACAUCACUAAGACGUUGUUGGAACAACAGACGGAUCUUUUCACAUCAAACAUUGAUGGCCAAAUGCAGACGACUGCUAUGUCUGCAUACCACAAAAGCAUAAAUAUGGAUGAUAUGCAACUCCAGGCCAAGAACCUACUCGGCGAUACUUAAGCCGUAGCACACACUCACUGAUGAUGCAGAUGUUUUAUCCCUUCAGAUUUUUUUUUUUUUUUUAAUGCUGUUGCUUUCUCAGGAUUAAAUUCCUAUAGUCGCCAAACUAGACGUCCAAGAAUUUGGGAUUUCACGAAAGCCCUUCUUAACUGGUGGAACACGUUCUCGCCGCCGGAUGAACUGCUUUCGGCUCUGCGUCAUCGAAGUUGAUUUUACAAAAAAGAAGAAAACAGGCGUUGUGGUACAUGUGCCUAAGGAUAAAAUGGAAUCACGUUCCGCUUUUCGAGGAAUUGUUCUAUUGUCGACCACCUCUGCAUAACAGAAAGAAAAGAAAGAAAAAAAUUCUGCACACUCUAUCGAAUUGUGCUUGAACGUGGGGACCCCAUCUGCAAACGGGUUGCGCAGCUCAUUUGAAUACCAAAUAUCGGCAAUUACAAUGAAGAUGCCGUAUACAUAAAUCUUGUGGUUAAUAGCUCCAUUGCAUGGAUCAAGUCCGUUUUCGCUAGACUUGUUUGAACGCCCGUCGUUGCCAUCGACCGAGCCACUUGGACAAAACAAAACAACGAUAAAAAAAAACAAGGAAAGGAUGACAGCAGGCCCCACGGCUUCAAAUGAUGGACGGUCGGGCGAUCAAGUUAUUUCUGUCGGGGCAUUUCCAGUGGCAAGCGACUAGGGCCAUAUCUCUAAAUAGUAAUGCACUUUCAUACUUUUCAAUGCGUUUAUUCGCCUCUGACUCUUUCCUUUUCUCAUGUUUUUAUCUUAAUCGUCCUGCUGCCUCCCCGCCGGGAGUUGGCGAGAGAUCACAGCCACUAGAAACCAAGUUGCUGCCGGAUUGGAAGAGUUUACAGCUGCGCUGCAGAGUCCCAUUUGGCUUGUCACGCUCUGUAUCGUAUAGACUCAGUUGCUGUUGAAUAGAGCCGCUCAACAACCCAAUUAGAGAAUACGGGACUGUUCUUAUAUGUAUAUAAAAAUUUUCUGACAGCAGGAAAAAGACAAAUUUGAUUCUUAAGCGUGCGAUGGCCUUUUUUUUUCUUUGUUCCUCCUAUUUUUUAAACCCUAUUUUCCGAUUUCGUCCUUCCGUUUCAUCUUCCGUUUCACUAUUUCUUUCCAUAGGAUUAGACAGCUCUUGAGAUGGAUGAUGGAGGACAGAUAAGAGACUUUUGCAACAUAACGAUGAACGCUGUCCGAAAUCAAUUACCGGUUACAGAUGUCGCUCAUAUCGCUAGUCACGAUGGGAUGCGUAACUAGCCGGGCGAAGGCACUGAUCGUUUGUGCUGGCCUGUCGUUUGUAUUUAUCUCUAAAGAUAUGAUUGAAUAAGUUUCCCAAAAGGGCUCAUCUUUUUAAACGGUUCUACUCUCAGUGUAUCGUUUAUUUCCUGUCUGCCUCCACAACAAACAAAAAAAAUCCAUGGGCUUGAAGAGAUAAAGUGGUAUUAAAACUGUCAGCACAGCCAUCUCAGCCCACUGUCCAUUGGCAAUCUAAAGGUUAAAGUGGAAACUAGCAGCCAGACAAAAUUUCUUUGGUUGGGUGUUCAUGAAUAACUUUAAUCACCAGCAGUGCUAGAGGGGCGGAAAAUAAAGUAUUCGUCUAUGUCAUUAAAAGAUUAAUAAAAUAUUUUGCAAGAACUGCAA
rnacentral:lncRNA from 1 species